AUUGAACGCUGGCGGCAUGCUUUACACAUGCAAGUCGAACGGUAACAGGCCUUCGGGUGCUGACGAGUGGCGAACGGGUGAGUAAUGCAUCGGAACGUGCCCAAUCGUGGGGGAUAACGUAGCGAAAGUUACGCUAAUACCGCAUAAGCCCUGAGGGGGAAAGCAGGGGAUCGCAAGACCUUGCGCGAAUGGAGCGGCCGAUGUCAGAUUAGCUAGUUGUGGGGUAAAGGCCUACCAAGGCGACGAUCUGUAGCGGGUCUGAGAGGAUGAUCCGCCANACUGGGACUGAGACACGGCCCAGACUCCUACGGGAGGCAGCAGUGGGGAAUUUUGGACAAUGG
rnacentral:rRNA from 1 species